GUUAAAACACCGGUUCUCAUCCGAUCUCAAAAGUUAAGCAGCACUGAACAUGGUCAAUACUUAGAUGAGUGACCGCUCAGGAAUACCAGC